UACAGAGGGGGCAAGCGUUGUUCGGAAUUACUGGGCGUAAAGGGCGCGUAGGUGGCCUUCUAAGUCAUACGUGAAAUCCCCGGGCUCAACCCGGGAACUGCGUCUGAUACUGGAAGGCUUGAAUCCGGGAGAGGGAUGCGGAAUUCCAGGUGUAGCGGUGAAAUGCGUAGAUAUCUGGAGGAACACCGGUGGCGAAGGCGGCAUCCUGGACCGGCAUUGACGCUGAGGCGCGAAAGCCAGGGGAGCAAACGGG
rnacentral:rRNA from 1 species